rnacentral:rRNA from 1 species
AACGAGCAGACCAUUAUCCCUACCCUCAAAUGAAAGAAACAAACCAAUUGGAUCCUGCCCUACUGUCUUUGGUUGGGGCGACCGCGGGGAAACAAAAAACCCCCAUGUGGAACGGGAGGUCUUUCCUCCUAUAACCAAGACCCACAGCUCUAAGUUUCAGAACUUCUGACCAAAAAGAUCCGGCAAUGCCGAUCAACGAACCG